GCUGCAACUGAGGAAGACAUUGAGAAGACACUGAUGCAACUCUGGAAGGAUUACGACAUCCAUGACUGCAUCAAGGACCUUGGGCUUGGGGUCAUGUCACCAAAAAGUGUAUGAAUUGCAUCUGAAAGAAAACACUCAAGAGGUUCUCUCAUGACUUCAAAGGGUUUGCCAAGGAUGAGGAGGUUGCAAAAAUCAACAAGGCUGUGAUUGAGAUGGCAAACAACUUACCCUGAAUGUGGAUGAGGAUGGCAUGCAGGAGCUCCUAAGGUGGUUCCUGAGGAAUUGACUAAUGAGAAGUUGUUGGAACUGGAACAGGAAUGCAUAGCUGAAGAAGAGGCAAGAGAAAAGGAAACUGCAGGAGGAGAAGAAGAAGAACCUCCAAAAAAAUUCAUAGUGAAGGGUUUAGCAGAAGGUUUGGCAGACCUCAGCAAGCUCCUUAAAAAAUUUGAAAACAUGAACCGCGACACCAAAAGGUUUUCAUUAAUAGAGAGGAAUGUUCAUGGUACGUUAUCUACUUACAAGCAAAUCUGUGAUGAAAAAAAGAAACAAACCAAGCAAACCACCAUGGACAUAUUUCUGAAAAAGAGCGACACCCCCACAAGAGCCUCAGGCAGAAUAAAGACUGCCCUUGAAUCUCUUUGGAAAGGACUAUACCAGGUCGUCCUCACCGUCCAGAUGACAGCCAAACUUCAGGGACUCAAGCCUUGGGUACACAUCUCACAGUUCAAGAAGACUCCAGCCAACGUCUGGUGCUGGACGAGUGCUGGAGCCCUCCAAAUCAAACUGACUAGGAAGAGAAGUAGCUGAAAUCGAGCUCACUGGAGAUGCUUUCUACUUGCUAGAUGGGAUGCUGUUGGAUUCACAAGUCAAUGAAUAAAGCCAAGUUGAUCUUCAAACUUACUCAGCUGAGUUUUUGUUAUUUAACAAACGAGACUAACAAUAUCUACCCUACAGGGUCAUUAAAUAUAUACAGAGUAUACCUUUAAUGAACCUAAAUUCUAUCCCCCC
rnacentral:lncRNA from 1 species